UCGCGCAUACACGUGCUCUGCCAGCAGAGGUCAACAACUGGCGAUUCGAAGUGCAUGUCGCGAUUAUGAUAAUUAUUGCGCAGGGCUACAACAACGGAAGGUUGGCAAGGGAGAAGACAUGCAACUACGAAAUUGGGGCAGCAAUGUUGCCUGCACUGGCUCGUGAAGACAUCGUGAAUUUCGACAGCAUCUGCAUGGACCUACAUUUAGGUGGCUUUCAUCAAAGGACUACAUUACAUUCCGAAUGAACCAAAGGCUCAACCUAGAAUGUCUAAGAACUUAUCUGGUGCCAGAAACAGCCCAAAUACAAGAAACAACAUUUUAAUUCAAGACGUCACACUUACGUGAUGGCACUGAGGUUUCACGUAAGAAUUUAGAAAAUAAAAUGUUUGCUCUUCAUUCCUACAAUUGUUCACCACAUUUUCUUUUUACCAGAAUAAAGCAAUCUUGAAGGAAUACUUUACCAUCACAUUAACUGGUUUCAAGCGGGUCGCAAUAGAGUAUAUAUAUAUAUACACACACACACACUCAUUGUUGUGGAUGUCAAAGACACUCACAUGUUUGACCUACUUUUUACUAAAACCCCUGCCAGGCCCCGCACACUCUCAAGUUCAACAAAUGGCCACAGAGGGCGAAAAAUCAAUCGAGGCGCGUUUCAGCAUAAGCGCGCAAGUGGAGCUACUGUAAUUUGGUCGAAUACUUUAAUUUGUGCUUUCUCUGCUAGGGGCGCUGAACAUGCUGAAUUUUUUAAUUUACACAAACCAUUGACAUGAACAAUCGAGGUGUCUAAGGAUGCUUUUUUA